UUCCAUCUGUCAGACGUAGGAAAUAUUGAAAGACCUAGCUACUUAUGGUGUCCGAGGAUUGUUGACCGUUCAACAAAAUGUGUGAAAAGGGACACGCUUGGAAUAAGCAAAAAUUGACUGUCGCCAAUGAAAUCCUUUUUAUGAAAUCACUUCUUCCUCAAUUAAUGGUAAUCAAGAACAUUUUAUUUUCCUUUACUAACUUGAGGAAAAAGUUUGAAUUCUUGUGAGAAAAGGAAAAGCGAAUUUCAAUAUUUUAUAUGUUUGAGUGCUGCAACUCACCAUAUUAAUGUCGGCAUGGAUUAAUCUCAGUUCUUCUACAUGUGACAUUUUUUCCUGCAAAAGUUGAUCCAUUUCGCUUUGAUAUUCAUGUAAACAUUUAUCUUCGCGCUCCGUAGUUUCCCAUUCUUGCAUCAGCAUAUUCUGAAGUCGAUGUAACUCGUCCAUUUUUAUUCUUAAAUAAAUCAAAACUACAUAUACUCGUA